rnacentral:lncRNA from 1 species
CUGAGUGGAAGGUCAACCAGUCCAACUUCUCAUGUUUCAGAAGAGGAAAGCAAGGUCUGGAGAGGGAACGUGGCUUGCCCAAGAUAUGUUUCAAACUUUGAUGAAAAGCAGGGAAGUUUGGGAAGAAAAUCCAAGACUUCUCUGGAGAGAGACCAGGAAACAGGCUCAGAGAGAAGAAGGGAAUUAUGUACCUCGGUUUAGAGCCAAAGUGUCCUGCCUGCAUUCCAGCUGUUUCCAUCCAUGUCCAUGUCAACUGGCAUCUGGAACUACUCGUAGCAGCAUCCACUCAAUUCACCAGGGUGGAAUCGAUAAAUGGCAACAUUUUCCUCUCUGAUGUUUUUUAACUGCAUUAAAAGGCAUGGAGUUUUAAUUUCACAUGCAUUUGUUUCUGGGUCUUGGGUCGUUUUUUUUUUUUUUCUUCUUCCUCAAAGCAGAUAAAUGAGGUUCCAAACUUCAGAUAAUAAGGCUUAACAGUGAGGCGCUUUUUAAAAAGUGAAUCAUUUCUCAGUUCUCCUUUGCUAACCUCUCUUGGUA